CUCUUCGACCCGUUCUCUCGAACACGCAGAUAGAGAUUUCCUCCGUCGGGAUGAUUGCCGGGCUUUUUGAUUCCUCGGACCUGUUUGUCA
rnacentral:sRNA from 1 species